CUCUCCUGCCAUUUCAUAUGGAUUACCAGAUGUAGCAACAUGUCUUCAAUUACUAUUCUUGUUGAAAAAAUGUGCAGAAAGGAAACAAGUCCCUGAAAGUCCUGUAUUCAUGUGUGCAACCUUUUACUACUAGAAAUGGCAGAAUAAAAUGAGAACUUCUGUGACUGAAAGAAGCAACCCAGCAUGGCCUUGGCGAGAGCCAUCCAGGAAGCCUCCAAAUUAAAUUUCAGCUGUAGUGUCAUGCCAGAUGAAGCAGUAGUUUGUGGAAGUAUCUGGAACAAAAACUAUGUAUUCCAUUUUUCACCCACAGAGGAAACCCCACUGGAGAUUCCUGUUUUCCAUUGCAUAAAGCAUGAUUAACAGAACAAAUCAGAGAGAUGGGGGAGAUUGGUUAGAUAAAAGAAACGAAAAAAGGAAUUAAGUAGUUUCCCCAUGCUGUACGAACUGGAAGGCUCUAAAAGAGAGA
rnacentral:lncRNA from 1 species